rnacentral:lncRNA from 1 species
UUACCAGAUUUCUGAAGGUCAGAAGCGCCCUAAUUCUGUGUCCAUUCUUUCUCACUGGGAAGCUGUUGCUGAGCACUGCGUACUGCUAUAGAAGAUCAGGGCAAGGACAAGAACAUAACAGUGAAGAGAUCUUUGGAGUAUCCAUCCUAUCUGCACAUCAUUCAUUGCCAUCUGAGUGCUGUUGCAGCGGCUCAACUGCACGUGAAUUGCCAGCUGUAUGAAUCUUUUGAAUCCAGCAAAAGUUUGGAUGAAACUUGCGGCACUCACUGCAGGACUGCUCUGCUUUAAGAGAGUUGUGUGUUCCAGAAGAGCUGGAAGCUGUGAACUGUGCUUGCUUCUUCCUCCUACGUGUAUGGAGGCAGCAGUGUGCUUGGGCACUUCUCCUUCAGUGUGGUGCCUGCCUCCUUCCAGGUGCCAGAAGAAUAAGGCUGCGUGCUCUGCAGAGGAUGACCACCUGCUAAUAAGGAAAAAGGAACCAUAUCCACAUUAUUGAAGACUGAGGUGAGCCAAGAAUCAUCAGUGUGUCAAAAGCUCCACCUUUGUGCCAAGAAAGCUGGCUAUGAGUAAGUGAUAUGACAGUGCUUUGCAUUUUUGUAAUUAAAUCUGAUAGCUGUUCUGUUUUCAUAGUAGGGGCAAUAUCUGUAACUGUUGCAUUCACUGGGAUUAUAGAGUUGUUUCAGGUAGCCCAACUAAGAACCAGCUCAUUAGUUUUGCUGAUAUACUGAAUAGUUGAUUUCAGCAUAGAUGACUCUGCUCCCAGAAUUAUGAGACCUGUCAAGGAUUAUGAAUCAGAGGCUUUAAUACCACAGCACGGAUUCUCAGCUGCAGCUGAUGCUCGUGGUCUCACUCUAUGCAAG